rnacentral:antisense_RNA from 1 species
CUUCACCGAGCCCAGCCACAGGGGCUGCUCCGGGUCCCGGUCCCGCCCGUACGUGGCCAGCAGGGCCUGCGCCUC